rnacentral:lncRNA from 9 species
AUGGCAUCGUCGUCAGCCCUUGACCCCACCCUCAUCCUGGGAACCUGCAGGCUCAGUGGUGUCCGCGUGGGUCUCCUCCUCGCGCAACGCCCCCAGCACCCUCAGUCUUGGCCACAACGGCAGAGCUGGAACUGCGUAAGGGGGGAUGGGAGGAGUACCGCCCACCCAGAUACCGUAGCUGUGAGGCCCCAAAGCAAGGGCACAACCUACUGGAUCACGCUUUUAGGGGGCCUUCACAUUGAUUUAGCAAGCAACUAUCAAAUUCCAACAAUUUACAAAUAUGUUACUAGAGCCACCACAACACUCUGUGAGGUUUUACAGCAGCAAAGAUGUUUAUGAGAAAGUGCCUAAAAAUAAAUAGAUAUCAUCAUUUCUCUAAUGCCUCUGUUAUAUUUUUGGGCUUCCCAAAUAAUGAUCGGUCUGCUCCACUGUGCUCUGGGAUAUAUCUGGUUACAUUUAUUUAUCAGACAAUUGCAGUGCUUUCGCAAAACCAUGUACCUAUAACCUUGAUAUCAGGAUACCCAUUUGGGGCAUUUCUGUUUUAUGCCAUAUCUGGAAUUUUAGCAAUAGAAGCAGAGAAGAAGCGUUCCCCAAAGCUGUUGACAUGUACCAUAAGGAUGAACACCUUCGGUAUUUUCUUCGCACUGCUUGGUCCAAUUCUAAAUGGACUUGAAAUAACAUUGUUUUUAAUAAAAGGUGAAAAGAUGAUAUGGCCAAAUCAAAUUUCACUAAUUCUUUCU